rnacentral:lncRNA from 7 species
CAUAAUCAACUGCAACUAUGCAGCAAGGGUACCGAAACAGGUUCCAGCGAUGGUUCUUGUUUCUCUUAUCCAAGUGCCCAGAUUCAAACCACUAUGAUGCGACAGCACAUGCCUGUCAAACAAGAUGUAACGACAACGCAAUGGGCACAAAUCCUGCUACUCCGCUGUUCUUUAUACCUAAAAAACCAACAAAAACGAAGACGCCAAGAGGGUGCUACCUUUCUGAGUGUAUCUAGGAAGUCUAAAUCCUCGAGAGCACGAACAAAAGCAACCGAAGAAAACCAGCGCUGGCCCGUGUCCCCUGUUCCGCCACGCUGUUGAACAAAGCGCGGAACAGCACACAACACAGCAAGGCAAGGGAGGAAAGACCUACCCUGCCCGCCC